UUUUGAUUACACUCGGCUCCCACCUCCUCCAACUCCAGACAUCUUUCAGAACAGGGAAAUGAGCCGGGAGUCCAGUGAUACUGCUGAUAUGAUUCAGGCCUCCUUGGGAGGAAAGCAACCGGAAGCAGAGGGCUGGCUGCUGUGCAAUGAGGUCAUCCCUUUGGCAUGCUGUCCUGGUCCUGGAGAAAGACAACAAGAGACAGAAGCUAUUUGGCUUCUUGGCUGACUCUCAAGUCUUAACUGAGGUCCAGGAAAGGUUGAGGUGUCGGUAUGGAUCCACUGUUGCCAAGGACGCAAGAACAAAACCCUUCAUUUUAAAUGCCAGUGGAAAAAUGUUCAGGAUAAAUACCAAGACACAUAAUGUGCUUUUAUUAAGGCAGCUUUUAAAAUGAGUUUUGGAAAACAGCCUUCAAGUGACUAUAAAGGUCCUCCUUGAGUGGAGGUCACUUGAGAAUUUGGCUUUGUGGACACAAACACUCCUGAACUGUUUUGGUUUUGCUGCCCUCAGGUAGGAGCCCCUGCACCUGGGCUGGACUCAAGCUCUGGGAUUACAGACAGCAAGCAAAGAAAAUGCUUAGAAGAGCAGAGAUUCAUGGUGUUCAUAGUAACUGCAGGAAGACAACAUGAGUGUAUCACAGAUGAGUCAGAAGAAAGACUGCUGGUGAAGCCUGAAGGUACGAGACCUACAAGUGGUAUCUCUUGUGGCAUGAACAAAUGUCUAUUUACUCCAGAUAAGGCACCAAUGACAUAUCAAAGAAACAAUUGCAUCAGUCUCUCUUGAUCCCUGUUGAAGACUGGCAAGUGCAAGGGAUGGAACUCUUGGUCAGGCAUGUCUCAAGGCAACUGAAGAGGAACUGAAAAUGAAGAGCUAUUCCUGCCUGGACCAUUUGUCAUCCUCAGUUAAGUGGAAUCUGCUGAACUCCCAGGGAAGCUCACUCUCUGGAUCAGAUACCACAGAACAAGUGGUUCCAUGAGAGAAGGGAAAGCUGGUAUUUACUGUGUGUGACUUAUGGGACAAAUGCAGCAUCUGAAGUGGCCAUGAGGGGCAAGACUAUUGUCUAGCCGUUUACCAUCCCUACUUCAAAGAACUACAAGGUUAAAGGUCUUCCCCAGUAUGUUCUUAUCGAUGUUGGUUUAGACCCCGCUGCAUCUGGAUUUAUCCAGCGGCAGCUAAGAGCUACUGAGAACAAUGUGAAAGACCUCCCUCCUGGCACCCAUUUCUUCAUUGAGACCCUCAGUUUCUCCUCCUAACCAGGAAUUAAAGAGUGGACAGAUGAAUUAAGGAGCAGGCUGGAGAAGAGGAGGCAGCCUUCCCAAGAGAUAGUAGGUCAGUAAAGACCCAUGACUGGCUAAGAGUUGGCAGAGGCCAUGGCCAGGAACAUAAACUUCAGCUCUAGCACUCAAGUGUAAGACCCACAGACUUGUUUAAACCCCAGAUCCUGCCCUCAAAAAUUGUCUUUACUGCUUAGACAGAUCUCUUUCCUCUGGAUAUAACCUGACCCAUCAACUUAGACUGUGUGGACCGCUCCUCCUCCUUUUCCUUUUCUUCCUCCUCUUCCUCUAUCAACAACCUUUACCAUGGAGACAAGUAUCCUGCUGAGCAAUAUUCCCUAGAUAUUUUAAAUUUGUACCAUCUUCACUAGUAC
rnacentral:lncRNA from 1 species